AGAGUUUUAUCUCCUGUCACAGAGUGCGCUCGCGCCUCAUCUUACACACACACGUCGAGCGGAACACAACCUAUCCUUCCAUUGGGUGCCGAGCGGCGGACGGGUGAGUAAUGCAUGGGAAUAUGCCCUAAGGUGGGGGACCACAAGUGGAAAGAAAUCAUAAUACCGCAUAAUCUAUACGGAGCAAAGCGGGGGAUCGUAAGACCUAUCGCUUUUGGAUGAGCCCAAGUGAGAUUAGCUAGUUGGUGAGGUAAUGGCUUACCAAGGCGACGAUCUGUAGCUGUCUGAGAGGAUGAUCAGCCACCCGGGAAAAC
rnacentral:rRNA from 1 species